rnacentral:rRNA from 1 species
GAUGAACGCUGGCGGCGUGCCUAAUACAUGCAAGUCGAGCGAACAGACGAGGAGCUUGCUCCUUUGACGUUAGCGGCGGACGGGUGAGUAACACGUGGGUAACCUACCAAUAAGACUGGGAUAACUUCGGGAAACCGGAGCUAAUACCGGAUAAUAUUUCGAACCGCAUGGUUCGAUAGUGAAAGAUGGCUUUGCUAUCACUUAUAGAUGGACCUGCGCCGUAUUAGCUAGUUGGUAAGGUAACGGCUUACCAAGGCAACGAUACGUAGCCGACCUGAGAGGGUGAUCGGCCACACUGGAACUGAGACACGGUCCAGACUCCUACGGGAGGCAGCAGUAGGGAAUCUUCCGCAAUGGGCGAAAGCCUGACGGAGCAACGCCGCGUGAGUGAUGAAGGUCUUCGGAUCGUAAAACUCUGUUAUUAGGGAAGAACAAACGUGUAAGUAACUGUGCACGUCUUGACGGUACCUAAUCAGAAAGCCACGGCUAACUACGUG